ACUGGGCUUGGUGGCGGGCGCUUGUGUUCCCAGCUACUUGGGAGGCUGAGGCACAAGAAUCGCUUGAACCCGGGAGGUGGAGGUUGUAGUGAGCCGAGAUCGCACAACUGCACUCCAGCCUGGACAACAGAGUGAGACUCUGUCUCAAAAAAAAAAAAAAAAUUGAUAGCUCACAUUUGUUUUGGGCCUUUUUUUUUGAGACAGACUCUCACUCUGUCGCCCAGGCUGGAGUGCAGUUGUGCGAUCUCGGCUCACUACAACCUCCACCUCCCGGGUUCAAGCGAUUCUUGUGCCUCAG
rnacentral:SRP_RNA from 1 species